rnacentral:rRNA from 1 species
AUUGAACGCUGGCGGCAGGCCUAACACAUGCAAGUCGAGCGAGCGGCGGACGGGUGAGUAAUGCCUAGGAAUCUGCCUGGUAGUGGGGGAUAACGUCCGGAAACGGUAGCUACUACCGCAUACCAUCAGAUGUGCCCAGAUGGAAUUAGCUAGUUGGUGGGGUAACGGCUAACCAAGGCGACGAUCCCUAGCUGGUCUGAGAGGAGGACCAGCCAAACUGGAACUGAGACACGGCCCAGACUCCUACGGGAGGCAGAAGUGGGGAAUAUUGCACAAUGGGCGAAAGCCGGAUGCAGCCAUGCCGCGUGUAUGAAGAAGGCCUUCGGGUUGUAAAGUACUUUCAGCGGGGAGGCGUUACCCGAAGAAGAAGCACCGGCUAACUACGUGCCAGCAGCCGCGGUAAUAC